rnacentral:rRNA from 1 species
AUGUCAGGCAGGAUGAAUUACCUCAUUUUCAAUGUUGUGUUUGCCUCCUGGGCCUGGCUUAUCACUGGUUCCAUUUUGGCCCAAGAUCAAGUUGUGUUUUUUUGUGUGUGUGUGUUUGUUAGUAACGUCACUGCCGCCUAUUCUCAUUACUCCACAUAUAACCACGUCACUUUGCGUUUCUGUCGUGCACAGCACCGCACCGACCGGACUACGACACUGCGACAUGCUGCUCCACCAUCCACCCCAGUGCCUGCAUCAGAUGUCGAUGCAACACCGGUCGAUGUGGCAUUGCAGCCCGUCCUUGUGGAGCAGACUGAGCUACUCCGCGCUGAGCUUCGCGACUACAUUGCGCGAGUUGGGAGUGUUUUGGCAAGUGCAGAGGCUGCUCUGGCCAAGCUCCAGAUUGUGCCCGUUGUGUCCCUGUUGCCCGAGAUCCACAAUGGUUCUGCCGAUGGAGAAGCAGGCAUGUAUGGAGAUCUCUCCCCUCGUGCUACAUCCUGCCUGUCAUCGCUGCAUGUCAUGUCGAUUGUUUCCGAGAGUGAAACCGUUGUUGAGGUCGUUGCUCCGGUGCUGCAGAUUAUGCCUGAGCUGCAAAAGCUUUGUGAGGAGCCCACUUCGCGUAUUUCGAUGGUGCUUCCUAAGGAGAUGGAGUCACUUGGAGGGGCCUUGGCGAUGCCGACUACGACCUCACCUCCGUCGUUGGAGCCCAAUCAGCUGAUCACCUUUGUGAACUGUGGGGGUUUGGAUGCUGCUAUUGUUGUCCCAUCUGUGGCUGUUGGCCAGGUGGCAUCUGGGGGUGCCGAGGUUGAUGAGGUAGGUGCUUUGGCACCUAAUUCUGAGGCGUUGAAGACCAUCAGAUCGCUCAUCUUUGACCGUGAAAGUAUGAUGGCACGUAUUGAUGAGGUGGUCUUUGCGAAAAAGCUUUGCCGCUUGCUUGCUGGUUUGGAGGCAGCUAGCCCGGGGUCUGGCAAGGCGAUUGCCGGCCUCCUAGCAGAGGAGGUUUCUACGGAAAAAAUCAAAAAGGUAAAGAAGGCUCUCAGGAGCAUAGGCAAGAAGAAUGGUGUCAUUGGUAAGGCGUCCGCGGCUGCUUAA